ensembl:snRNA U6 U6 spliceosomal RNA
GUGCUUACUUCAGCAACACCUAUACUAAAAUUGGAAUGAUAGAAAAUUAGCAUGCCCCUGUGCAAGGAUGACAUGUAAAUUCAUGAAGUGUUCCAUAUUCAA